AUGCAGCUCUGGUCGCUGGAGGGGGCGGUGAAAAUCAUCGGCAAUAAGUGCAUCGUCGAUCGCCUCGACACCCGCACCCACGAGCGCGGCCACACCAAGACUUUUGCCUGCUGGGUGUGGGUCUGGGAUGUCGCCAACAUCCCCACAAGGCACAUCAUUUGGCGGGUGAAGCGCGGGGCGGCACGCGUCGAGGCCAUGCUCGGUCACUCGCCGCCCAGCCAUGAGGUCGCCCCACCACCUGGAGUCAGAAGGCACGACAUGUUGGUCCACGUCGAGAGGGUGGAGGACUGGACUUUGCCGUCCCCGCGCCCCUCUCGCUCCACCCAAAGUGGACUCCCCUCCUCGGGCUCAGAUGAUGGCGCCCCAUUCCCGGCCAUCUACCCGGGCACCUGGACCCGGAAGGUGGAUGAUGGGCAGGGCCACGCCAGGAGGCAGCCCCCGGCGGUCAACCCCUCCGGCUGCCAGGGCCUGCAGUUGGGGGGCGCCUGCCGCGACCAAGACGACCCCGACGGUGAUGACCACGGCGACCGUUGCUCAUGGAAGGAUAUGCUGCUGGGCCGGGGCCACGCCAGCCGCCCGCCAACAGUGUCGAAGGAGAAGACGCAGCGCAGCACCGCAAACGCAGCAGAACCCCAACCAGCAGACACCGGGACAAGGGUUGUCACGGCCGUGACGCAACCAUCCGCGUCACCCCUCCUCUUCUGUUGCAUCGCGCACCGUCUUCGACUCCUCCGCCGCCGCCACCACCGCCACCCUUGGGGGCCCGACGCGUCCAAGACCCGAUCGCGGAUUUCUUCAGGACAAAUUCGAUGA
rnacentral:rRNA from 1 species